GAUGACGAUGAUUUCAUGUAACCACCAUAAUUAAUUGCAGAUUGGUGUCAGUUAAUCGACUCGUGACCUGUUUUAAAAAGCAGAUCAAAAUCUUUCUUUCCGUUUCACCAGUGUCACAUUCAAACAUUUUACAGACGACAUAAAUGUGCACCAGAAAUAUGUUUUAGUCCUAUUUCUCGGCGUGUUAAUCAUCCUGGAACUCACAGCUGCUCGGAGGUGGGGAUUAGGAUCCGCUGCCUUCCUCGGAUGAGAGACGGUUGGGAUCUUCCAGCAGAGCCUUCUGUGUGAAUGAUGUUCUGUGCAGCUUGAAGACGAGCAGAGGGAGAGGCGUGCGUCUACACAAUAUCCAGAUAAUUAAGCUCUGACAUAACGGAGCGCGACGGAUUCACCGGGAAGCCGUUGGCCACGAAAAGGAACGGACGGACGAGCAGACUUUCAUUUUUUUUUUUUGCUACGAGUGUGUGAUGUGCUUUUGAUUGACUGGAGAAUUACUGCCAAACAUAUACGGGGGGUAAACAGAGGGCAAAAGCAGUUUGUUUGUUUGUUUGUUGUUGUUGUUGUGUAGACAUCGGGGGUCCAGGGGUCAGACCGCUGAGGGUGACUUUGACAGCACGCCACAGGGCUCUGGCACAAGACCGAGAGAAGAAAGAAGAAAACGCCACGAGGGAGGGGAAAAGAGAGAAAAGCCGUGAAAAUAAACGCAGACGAGAACAUUUGUGACAAAACAACAAAAAAUAAAUUCAAACAGCUUUUCCUCCAAGGCUCUUUUCUCCAAUCGCCCCUGUCGUAUUCUGCAAAGCUUCGCUGGCCUGUCACAAAAACAAGGUUAGCAGUCUUUUCCCCCCCCGGCUUAGUGGCCCCCUUUCUGUGGCAGAUACAAAAUGUUUUAUCAAACCCUGUUUAUGGAAAUGUCAUGUCUCGCUGCAUAAUAGAGGAGCUAGAGACGGAUGAAAAACAACACCAGAGGCUGACAGGCCGCCAGCGAGGGGAAGUUCCUGCGUUAAAAAUGAGUUCUCAACAAGGGGCUCGGGCAGAAAUGACCGCUCACCUCGGCGUCCCCUCGCGCUUUCACCUUCACCCGCGAGGCCCUGUUUGGGGUUUGGAUCCAUCCAAAAAAAUCAUCCAAAAAAUGUGCCCCAUUUCCAUGAGAGAACCAGAAAAAAAGAAAUGACAGAAAGAAAUGAGAUCUGAUGGCGGAUGUGGGGAACGGGGAGAUGAAACUGUCAAAUAUCUGUGUGAAAAAGCUCUUUAGUUCACUUGCACUAUUUGUAGCGGCAGCCGGCUCGUGCUAGAUUGGAUGCUAACACUGAAUUACACAAGCGAAUUCCUGCAAGUGCUCCGAAUUAACCCAGUUAGCUUUCACAGACUCAACAGUUGCCGUCCCAAUUUCCGAAUGCACCAGAUGUUUGGAUGCUUCGCACCGGGGGACCGGCGAGGACGAGAUCAAACCGGGAAGUUGUCAAUUAUUUGUUGAUUUUCUGAGAAAAUAAUCC
ensembl:lncRNA